CCUACGGGAGGCUGCAGUGGGGAAUAUUGCACAAUGGGGGAAACCCUUAUGCAGCGACGCCGCGUGAGUGAAGAAGUAUCUCGGUACGUAAAGUUCUAUCAGCAGGGAAGAAAAUGACGGUAACUGACUAAGAAGCCCCGGCUAACUACGUGCCAGCAGCCGCGGUAAUACGUAGGGGGCAAGCGUUAUCCGGAUUUACUGGGUGUAAAGGGAGCGUAGACGGCAGCACAAGUCUGGAGUGAAAUCCCGGGGCUUAACCCCGGAACUGCUUUGGAAACUGUGCGGCUGGAGUGCAGGAGGGGUAAGCGGAAUUCCUAGUGUAGCGGUGAAAUGCGUAGAUAUUAGGAGGAACACCGGUGGCGAAGGCGGCUUACUGGACUGUAACUGACGUUGAGGCUCGAAAGCGUGGGGAGCAAACAGGAUUAGAUACCCGAGUAGUC
rnacentral:rRNA from 1 species